rnacentral:rRNA from 1 species
GACGAACACUGGCGGCGUGCUUAACACAUGCAAGUCGAACGGAAAGGCCCUGCUUUUGUGGGGUGCUCGAGUGGCGAACGGGUGAGUAACACGUGAGUAACCUGCCCUUGACUUUGGGAUAACUUCAGGAAACUGGGGCUAAUACCGGAUAGGAGCUCCUGCUGCAUGGUGGGGGUUGGAAAGUUUCGGCGGUUGGGGAUGGACUCGCGGCUUAUCAGCUUGUUGGUGGGGUAGUGGCUUACCAAGGCUUUGACGGGUAGCCGGCCUGAGAGGGUGACCGGCCACAGUGGGACUGAGAUACGGCCCAGACUCCUACGGGAGGCAGCAGUGGGGAAUAUUGCACAAUGGGCGGAAGCCUGAUGCAGCAACGCCGCGUGCGGGAUGACGGCCUUCGGGUUGUAAACCGCUUUCGCCUGUGACGAAGCGUGAGUGACGGUAAUGGGUAAAGAAGCACCGGCUAACUACGUG